rfam:Salmo salar isolate Sally breed double haploid chromosome ssa07, whole genome shotgun sequence.
UGCUCACAGGCAAUUUGUAAGUCGCUCUGGAUAAGAGCGUCUGCUAAAUGACGUAAA